rnacentral:rRNA from 1 species
UCAACUUAAGAGUUUGAUCCUGGCUCAGAACGAACGCUGGCGGCAGGCCUAACACAUGCAAGUCGAACGCCGUAGCAAUACGGAGUGGCAGACGGGUGAGUAACGCGUGGGAACGUGCCUUUCGGUUCGGGAUAACCCAGGGAAACUUGGGCUAAUACCGGAUACGCCCUUCGGGGGAAAGAUUCAUUGCCGAAAGAUCGGCCCGCGUCGGAUUAGCUAGUUGGUGGGGUAAUGGCCUACCAAGGCGACGAUCCGUAGCUGGUCUGAGAGGAUGACCAGCCACACUGGGACUGAGACACGGCCCAGACUCCUACGGGAGGCAGCAGUGGGGAAUAUUGGACAAUGGGCG